rnacentral:rRNA from 1 species
GGAUGUUAGCGGCGGACGGGUGAGUAACACGUGGGUAACCUGCCUGUAAGACUGGGAUAACUCCGGGAAACCGGAGCUAAUACCGGAUAGUUCCUUGAACCGCAUGGUUCAAGGAUGAAAGACGGUUUCGGCUGUCACUUACAGAUGGACCCGCGGCGCAUUAGCUAGUUGGUGAGGUAACGGCUCACCAAGGCGACGAUGCGUAGCCGACCUGAGAGGGUGAUCGGCCACACUGGGACUGAGACACGGCCCAGACUCCUACGGGAGGCAGCAGUAGGGAAUCUUCCGCAAUGGACGAAAGUCUGACGGAGCAACGCCGCGUGAGUGAUGAAGGUUUUCGGAUCGUAAAGCUCUGUUGUUAGGGAAGAACAAGUGCAAGAGUAACUGCUUGCACCUUGACGGUACCUAACCAGAAAGCCACGGCUAACUACGUGCCAGCAGCCGCGGUAAUACGUAGGUGGCAAGCGUUGUCCGGAAUUAUUGGGCGUAAAGGGCUCGCAGGCGGUUUCUUAAGUCUGAUGUGAAAGCCCCCGGCUCAACCGGGGAGGGUCAUUGGAAACUGGGAAACUUGAGUGCAGAAGAGGAGAGUGGAAUUCCACGUGUAGCGGUGAAAUGCGUAGAGAUGUGGAGGAACACCAGUGGCGAAGGCGACUCUCUGGUCUGUAACUGACGCUGAGGAGCGAAAGCGU